rnacentral:rRNA from 1 species
CGACGUUAAGCAAAUACACAAAAACCCAAGUCCCAGUUCGGAUUGCAGUCUGCAACUCGACUGCAUGAAGCUGGAAUCGCUAGUAAUCGCGAAUCAGAAUGUCGCGGUGAAUACGUUCCCGGGCCUUGUACACACCGCCCGUCACACCAUGAGAGUCGAUAACACCCGAAGCCUGUAGUCUAACCUUAGGGGGGACGCAGUCGAAGGUGGGAUUGAUAAUUAGGGUGAAGUCGUAACAAGGUAGC